ensembl:lncRNA novel transcript, antisense to HDAC7
ACCUGAGAGAGUAACUGUGUGGACAUGGGGUUAGUGGCAAGGAGAGGGAAGGGUUCAGGGUUACACAUAUCAGGAACCACUCUGUCUUGCAUAAAGUCAUGAAGUUAUGAGGAGAUCAGAAACCAAGCUCGGUUACAGAGGGGCAGGUACACGAGGCCCAGCCCCAUCCCUCGUAGGGAGAGCUGGGCCCUACACUCGACUCACAGGACCAUGCGGGAACUCAAGUGUGCAAAGGUCCUCCACCGCUCUCAACUUCUGCUUAGAAAUGUCUCUUACACAGCUGUCAGUGCAGAAGGGACAUAGCUUAGCAGUUAAACGCAAGCACUCUAGAGCUAACCCGCCUGGGUUCAAAUCCAUCUCAUGACUUACGAAUGACUGUGUGUGAGUUACUUAAUCUCUCUGUGCUCACUUUCAUCUGUAAAGUGGGUUAUAGUCAGGAUUAAAUCCAUCAUGUGUAAAACCAUCAGUGUCUGGAUGUGAUUAGUGGUGUACUGAUGUUAUCUGCUAUUAUUCUUAUCAUCACUACCUGUACAGGAAAUGCAGAAA